rnacentral:rRNA from 1 species
UUAGGAAUUUUGCGCAAUGGGCGAAAGCCUGACGCAGCAACGCCGCGUGAGGGAAGACGGCUUUCGGGUUGUAAACCUCUUUUAGCAGGGACGAACACAAUGACGGUACCUGCAGAAAAAGCACCGGCUAACUACGUGCCAGCAGCCGCGGUAAUACGUAGGGUGCAAGCGUUAUUCGGAUUUAUUGGGCGUAAAGCGCAUGUAGGCGGUUCGGUAAGUCUGGUGUGAAAGCCCUCGACUCAAUCGAGGAAGUGCAUUGGAUACUGUCGAACUGGAGUACAGGAGGGGUGAGCGGAAUUCCAGGUGUAGAGGUGAAAUUCGUAGAUAUCUGGAGGAACACCAGUGGCGAAAGCGGCUUCCUGGACCGAUCCUGACGCUCAGACGCGAAAGCUAGGGGAGCAAACG